AGAAUCAACGCUGGCGGCGUGCCUAACACAUGCAAGUCGAACGAGAAAGUGGAGCAAUCCACGAGUAAAGUGGCGCACGGGUGAGUAACACGUGACUAACCUACCCUUGAGUGGGGGAUAACCUAGGGAAACCUGGGCUAAUACCGCAUAAUACCUUCGGGUCAAAGGAGCAAUUCGCUUAAGGAGGGGGUCGCGGCCGAUUAGUUAGUUGGCGGGGUAAUGGCCCACCAAGACUAUGAUCGGUAUCCGGCCUGAGAGGGCGCACGGACACACUGGAACUGAAACACGGUCCAGACUCCUACGGGAGGCAGCAGUGGGGAAUUUUGCGCAAUGGGGGAAACCCUGACGCAGCAACGCCGCGUGGAGGAUGAAGUCCCUUGGGACGUAAACUCCUUUCGAUCGGGACGAUAAUGACGGUACCGAGAGAAGAAGCCCCGGCUAACUUCGUGCCAGCAGCCGC
rnacentral:rRNA from 1 species